rnacentral:misc_RNA from 1 species
GAUGAAGAACGCAGCGAAAUGCGAUAAGUAAUGUGAAUUGCAGAAUUCAGUGAAUCAUCGAAUCUUUGAACGCACAUUGCGCCCCCUGGUAUUCCGGGGGGCAUGCCUGUCCGAGCGUCAUUACAACCCUCAAGCUCAGCUUGGUGUUGGGCCCCGCCGCCCCGGCGGGCCCUAAAGUCAGUGGCGGUGCCGUCCGGCUCCGAGCGUAGUAAUUCUUCUCGCUCUGGAGGUCCGGUCGUGUGCUCGCCAGCAACCCCCAAUUUUUUUCAGGUUGACCUCGGAUCGGGUAGGGAUACCCGCUGAACUUAAGCAUAUCAAUAAGCGGAGGA